GACGAACGCUGGCGGCGUGCCUAAUACAUGCAAGUAGGACGCAGUUGCGAACGGGAGAGUAACGCGUAGGGAACUACCCAUUCGAGGGGGAUAAAUAAUGGAAACGAUAGCUAAUACCGCAUACUAGUAGAUGGACCUGCGUUGUAUUCUCUAGUAGGUAGGGUAAUGGCCUACCUAGGCAACGAUACAUAGCCGACCCGAGCGGGAGAUCGGCCACAAUGGGACAGAGACACGGGCCCGGAUCCUACGGGAGGCAGGAGUAGGGAAGUAUCGGGAAUGGGGGGAACCCUGAACGAGGAAGUGCGGGGGGGUGAAGAGGGUUUUCGGAUCGGAAAGGUUUGUGGUUAAGGAAGCGGUACUUAACCAGAAAGGGACGGCUAACUACGUGCCAGCAGCCGCGGUAAUAC
rnacentral:rRNA from 1 species